AGAGUUUGAUCCUGGCUCAGGAUAAACGCUGGCGGCGCACAUAAGACAUGCAAGUCGAACGGAAGUCGUUACUAAAUGGAUUGACGAUUUAUCAGAAAGAAGUUUAGUAACAAUGGCUUUAGUGGCGGACUGGUGAGUAACGCGUAAGGAAUCUGCCCAUUAGAGGGGAAUAACAAUGAGAAAUCAUUGCUAAUACCGCAUAUGCCAUAAUUAUCGCAUGAUAAUAGUGGGAAAGGAGAAAUCCGCUGAUGGAUGAUCUUGCGUCUGAUUAGUUAGUUGGUGGGGUAAAGGCCUACCAAGACGACGAUUAGUAGCCGGACUGAGAGGUUGAACGGCCACAUUGGGACUGAGAUACGGCCCAGACUCCUACGGGAGGCAGCAGUCGGGAAUAUUGCGCAAUGGAGGGAACUCUGACGCAGUGACGCCGCGUAUAGGAAGAAGGUUUUCGGAUUGUAAACUAUUGUCGUUAGGGAAGAAGAAGUGACAGUACCUAAGGAGGAAGCUCCGGCUAACUACGUGCCAGCAGCCGCGGUAAUACGUAGGGAGCGAGCGUUAUCCGGAUUUAUUGGGUGUAAAGGGUGCGUAGACGGGUGAUUAAGUUAGCUGUGAAAUCCCUUGGCUUAACUGAGGAACUGCAACUAAAACUGGUCAUCUUGAGUGCAGGAGGGGUAAGUGGAAUUCC
rnacentral:rRNA from 1 species